rnacentral:rRNA from 1 species
AUUGAACGCUGGCGGAAUGCUUUACACAUGCAAGUCGAGCGGCAGCGCGCGGGGCAACCCUGGGCGGCGAGCGGCGAACGGGUGAGUAACACAUCGGAACGUGCCCUAUCGUGGGGGAUAGCUCGGCGAAAGCCGGAUUAAUACCGCAUAAGACCUGAGGGUGAAAGCGGGGGAUCGCAAGACCUCGCGCGAUUGGAGCGGCCGAUGUCGGAUUAGCUAGUUGGUGAGGUAAAGGCUCACCAAGGCGACGAUCCGUAGCUGGUCUGAGAGGACGACCAGCCACACUGGAACUGAGACACGGUCCAGACUCCUACGGGAGGCAGCAGUGGGGAAUUUUGGACAAUGGGGGAAACCCUGAUCCAGCCAUUCCGCGUGAGUGAAGAAGGCCUUCGGGUUGUAAAGCUCUUUCGGCAGGAACGAAACGGUGGAGGCUAAUACCUUCCAUCAAUGACGGUACCUGAAGAAGAAGCACCGGCUAACUACGUGCCAGCAGCCGCGGUAAUACGUAGGGUGCGAGCGUUAAUCGGAAUUACUGGGCGUAAAGCGUGCGCAGGCGGCUUUGUAAGACAGGUGUGAAAUCCCCGGGCUUAACCUGGGAACUGCGCUUGUGACUGCAAGGCUUGAGUGCGGCAGAGGGGGGUGGAAUUCCACGUGUAGCGGUGAAAUGCGUAGAGAUGUGGAGGAACACCGAUGGCGAAGGCAGCCCCCUGGGUCGACACUGACGCUCAUGCACGAAAGCGUGGGUAGCAAACAGGAUUAGAUACCCUGGUAGUCCACGCCCCAAACGAUGCCAACUAGGUGUUGGGGAAGGAGACUUCCUUAGUACCGUAGCUAACGCGUGAAGUUGGCCGCCUGGGGAGUACGGUCGCAAGAUU